GAUUUGUGUUUCUCUCUCUCCACUCCCAACUCCCAAGGAGGCGGAGAAUAAAAGCUAUACACACUUCUGUGAUGGCAAGCAGGUUACAGAGCAAACGGACGUGUUUUGUCACAAAGAGCAAGAAUUCCGCUCCAGGAGAGCACUUCAGACUUUGUCCUUGGAAGUCGACCCCUCCUCCCAGCCCCGGCGGCUGGCGACCGGUGAUCUGGUUUCUGUCCCCGUGGUUUGCCUCCUCUGGAAUGUCGUGUCGUGGAAUCGUCCUUCUGGACCCUUUGAUUCUGGCCUCUUCCCUCCGCAGUGCGUGUGAGAUGCGUCCUGGUGCUGUGCCCAGCAGUGGUUUCCCUUUGAUCGAUGAGGCUGUUCCGGUGUGUGGAUGUCUGUUUAUCCAUCUGCUUGUUGAAAGACAUUUGGACCGUUUCCCACUUUCUCUGAUCAUGAAUAAAGCUACUCUAAACACCAGCGAA
rnacentral:lncRNA from 1 species